AGGUGACUGAUGCCCGGUGAGAAGGUGAAAGUGACCUAUACCCCCGUCAGCUGCAGGAAAGAACCAAAAGACAGGUGACUGAUGUCCGGUGAGAAGGUGAAAGUGACCUAUACCCCUGUCAGCUACAGGAAAGGAACCAAGAGACAGGUGACUGAUGCCCGGUGAGAAGGUGAAAGUGACCUAUACCCCCGUCAGCUGCAGGAAAGGAACCAAGAGACAGGUGACUGAUGUCCGGUGAGAAGGUGAAAGUGACCUAUACCCCUGUCAGCUACAGGAAAGGAACCAAGAGACAGGUGACUGAUGCCCGGUGAGAAGGUGAAAGUGACCUAUACCCCCGUCAGCUGCAGGAAAGGAACCAAGAGACAGGUGACUGAUGCCCGGUGAGAAGGUGAAAGUGACCUAUACCCCUGUCAGCUGCAGUAAAAGAACCAACAGACAGGUGACUGAUGUCCGGUGAGAAGGUGAAAGUGACCUAUACCCCUGUCAGCUACAGGAAAGGAACCAAGAGACAGGU